rnacentral:lncRNA from 1 species
GGGAAGAGAAGUUCUUUUUCUGUUGGGCUGCUGAGGGGCGAUGAGGCCAGCCUGGGAGUGGUGGUGGAGAGGCCCCCUGAGCAGGACAGCAGCACAGAGGGCAGGAAGCCAAGCCAAGAGGCUGGGAGGGACGAUCCCUGCUGAUGGCGUCGAGCACCCAGGCUGUCAGCUGGAUGAGAAUGGAGAGCUCUGCCUGCUUCUCCUGCUGUGCUGUGCCCGGUGUCCAGAGCCAGCCGGCAGCCGCAGGGCAUCAGUGACGUGCGCUGGGCCAGUGAACACUGCAGACCACACAGGAGCAUACUUCCAGGAGUGCUAAGCGCCGUUGGCUCCUUCACUGUCCAUGGAGCCCAGCUCUGUGCCCGGCCCUGACUUGCGCUGUAGGCACGAUGGCCAUGAAGGAGACAAACUCUGCCGCCCCCUGGAGCCGUCGUCACAGAGGGACAAACAGUGAGCAGAGCACAGCAGCCCACUGUGCACGUGCAGCCAGAGGCGUCUUCUCCAAUGGAGGCCGAGGACGUCGCUCCCUGGUCCUGAUCCCCUGCUCCUUAGAACCUGACCCAGGGCCCUUGCUGUGGAACUGAGCUUGGACUAAUGAGGCAGCUCAGAGGUAGCCGCUGGCCAGCCAGCCAGGGCCCAAGCUCACAGAAGAGGAGAAAGCCUCAUCAGCAGAGCAUUCCACUGUCACAGCUGACUGCUUUCCAGGCCUGAGCUGGAGGAUAUCUAAGCUGGGCCGUGCUCUUCCAGCGGGAUCAAUGCCUGAUUCACCUCGGGGAGCCCGAUGGGGUCUGGCCAGGUGCCCAGCAUGUGGGCUUCGCAGAGGCCAGCUGCCCUGCCUGUGAGCAGCCCUAUGGAGAGGCCCACGUGGUGAGGACCCGACGCCUCCUGCCACCAGUCGCACAUGGGAGCAGAGACAUAGAUUUCCAGCCUGGGACGAUGCAGCGCCUGCCGACAUCCUGACUGACCCCUCGAGAGCCCUGAGUCAGAGCCACCCAGCUGUGCUGCCCUUGGGCUCCUGACCCACAGAGACCAAAACAAUAAACAUUGGCUGCUGUGGGGGCUCAGUCUCGGGGUUGUUCGUCCCCCAGCAGGAGACAGACCUCUCCUCAGAGACUGUCCACUGUCCCCUGCGUGGCAGCCUUCACUCAGGGCCCCUGAAGCCGUCUUACUUACAUCUGUUCACCGUCUCUGCCUUCGUUAGGAGGAAGCCCCCGUGAGGACAAGGGAUGUGUAGGUUCACUGUAGGUCCCCAGUGCCACGACAGCACAGAGGCUCCUUGACAAAUGGCCGAGGUGCA